GACGAACGCUGGCGGCGUGCUUAACACAUGCAAGUCGAACGGAAAGGCCCUGCUUUUGUGGGGUGCUCGAGUGGCGAACGGGUGAGUAACACGUGAGUAACCUGCCCUUGACUUUGGGAUAACUUCAGGAAACUGGGGCUAAUACCGGAUAGGAGCUCCUGCUGCAUGGUGGGGGUUGGAAAGUUUCGGCGGUUGGGGAUGGACUCGCGGCUUAUCAGCUUGUUGGUGGGGUAGUGGCUUACCAAGGCUUUGACGGGUAGCCGGCCUGAGAGGGUGACCGGCCACAUUGGGACUGAGAUACGGCCCAGACUGCUACGGGAGGCAGCAGUGGGGAAUAUUGCACAAUGGGCGGAAGCCUGAUGAAGCAACGCCGCGGGCGGGAUGACGGCCUUCGGGUUGUAAACCGCUUUCGCCUGUGACGAAGCGUGAGUGACGGUAAUGGGUAAAGAAGCACCGGCUAACUACGUG
rnacentral:rRNA from 1 species